AGAAAUACCUAAUGGACUUGAUUGCUCAAGGUUGCACGAACGAUCAACCAAAUGAAGAGGUCGAUCAUAGCUAGACUGACAUCUACCUCAACAUGUCUGGUAAACAUGAUUUGAAUUCUGUACUUAUCAAGAUUAUUGGGAAUUAAUAUGUAACAUCUCAUAUUUUUACGAGAUGUUUAUUUUACAAAAAGGUGGAUUUCAAAAUUUUUGUUGUUAGUGGAGUGAAAAUUUAAACUAUAAUAAUGUCUUCAUUAAAUCUCUCCCAAAAAUUCCUAAUAUAAAUUGGAUUAAAUUGAAUAUCUUAGGAACAUAUGUUUGCUAGAGUGCUAUUUGGAUCUUUAUUUGGCCUUUAUUUGGAUUUUAAUUGAGUGAAUUCAAAUUUGAAUUAAACCUAAACUAACUAAACCACCUAUCCGAACCUGGGCCGAAUCCUCCCUAGCCAACUAACCCAGCCGACCCCUUAACCUCGCCGGCCUACCAACCCCUUAACCCCGGGCCACUGCCUGCUCGCCCCGUUAGCCCAACAGGUCGGCCCACUCCAGCCUGCUCCACUUGCAAAACCAACCAGGCUGGAGCCCAGCUAACUAGCCGGCCCAGCUGACCCCGUCGGCCCACCAUACGGAAUCCUCCACCC
rnacentral:lncRNA from 1 species